rnacentral:rRNA from 1 species
AUUGAACGCUGGCGGCAUGCCUUACACAUGCAAGUCGAACGGUAACAGGUCUUCGGAUGCUGACGAGUGGCGAACGGGUGAGUAAUACAUCGGAACGUGCCUAGUAGUGGGGGAUAACUACUCGAAAGAGUGGCUAAUACCGCAUGAGAUCUACGGAUGAAAGCAGGGGAUCGCAAGACCUUGUGCUACUAGAGCGGCCGAUGGCAGAUUAGGUAGUUGGUGGGAUAAAAGCUUACCAAGCCGACGAUCGGUAGCUGGUCUGAGAGGACGAUCAGCCCCACUGGGACUGAGGCACGGCCCCGACUCCUACGGGAGGCAGCAGUGGGGAAUUUUGGACAAGGGGCGAAAGCCUGAUCCAGCAAUGCCGCGUGCAGGAUGAAGGCCUUCGGGUUGUAAACUGCUUUUGUACGGAACGAAAAGCCCUGGGUUAAUACCCUGGGGUCAUGACGGUACCGUAAGAAUAAGCACCGGCUAACUACGUGCCAGCCGCCGCAGUAACAC